rnacentral:tRNA from 1 species
AAUAGCUAGUCUAAUAAAGACUACUAAUUUCGACUUAGCCAAUCGUGAUUAAACUUCACGGCUAUUAA